rnacentral:rRNA from 1 species
CUCCUGGAAAACGGGUGGUAAUGCCGGAUGCUCCGGUUGGAUGCAUGUCCUUCCGGGAAAGAUUCCAUCGGUAUGGGAUGGGGUCGCGUCCUAUCAGCUUGAUGGCGGGGUAACGGCCCACCAUGGCUUCGACGGGUAGCCGGCCUGAGAGGGCGACCGGCCACAUUGGGACUGAGAUACGGCCCAGACUCCUACGGGAGGCAGCAGUGGGGAAUAUUGCACAAUGGGCGCAAGCCUGAUGCAGCGACGCCGCGUGCGGGAUGGAGGCCUUCGGGUUGUAAACCGCUUUUGAUCGGGAGCAAGCCCUUCGGGGUGAGUGUACCCUUCGAAUAAGCACCGGCUAACUACGUGCCAGCAGCCGCGGUAAUACGUAGGGUGCAAGCGUUAUCCGGAAUUAUUGGGCGUAAAGGGCUCGUAGGCGGUUCGUCGCGUCCGGUGUGAAAGCCCAUCGCUUAACGGUGGGUCUGCGCCGGGUACGGGCGGGCUGGAGUGCGGUAGGGGAGACUGGAAUUCCCGGUGUAACGGUGGAAUGUGUAGAUAUCGGGAAAGAACACCA